GGAGAAUUCACAAUAAAUCCCUCUCACAGCCACCGGAGGGCGAGCAUUCAAGGUGAGCACGGGUGAAGAGGAUAACUAUACAAAUCAUUGGAAAUCUCCUUUGAUAAAUUCAUUUGAUCGCCUAUUCCCUAUGGGCACAAUGCUAUUGAUUUUUUAAACCAAUCUCUUCUUGGCUUUUCUAUAGCAAUCGGGUGAAUACGAUUUACAUUGUGUUAGGAACCUUUGAUUCCGGAUAUCAUGUUGACAAUGGGACACGGUUAACUGUAAAACAGGAUGUUUUUCUCCGUCGUUCAGGUAACGCUGCGAGUACAGCUCCGGGGGAAAAAAAUUACAAGACCACUGAACCAUUGAUCUGUUCUUUCCCCGUGAGCAGAGUAGGGCCGAGCCAGGGAUGCAUGCCUGCCUGCCUGCCUGCCUGCCUGCCUGCCUGCCUGCCUGCCUGCCUGCAUAGAGAAACUAGAGCCAGGGCUAACCCUAUCAUCCAGUACCCAGGUGAGAAUUGUGCUACAUAAAUAUACUGUGUAGCCUGUAUAGAGAACCAGGGCAUGAUCCUCCUUCCUGUUGUGUGUGUGUGUGUGUGUUUGCUGUGAAAAUUGUGAAUCCAACAACACCAGGCCUGUGCUAAUCGCACCUGUAGUUCCUAAGAUAGUCCAAGUUGAAGCACAGCCAAUCACAAGCCAGAUAUUCAAAUGAGAGUCAAACUCUUGAGGGUCAAAGUCGUUUUUAUGCUUAUACCUAACCCUAACCCUAACCUCUAUUCCAAGGUUUGCUCUAAUUUAGCGCCUUAUCCUUACCCAUGGCCCUACAAGGUGGAGUUGGACUUUCCUUUAGAUAAUGACUCCCUUCUUUUAAGCCUAUGUGGCUACUUUGACCCCUGACUCCGGGGAGUCUUUAUUCUCUUUAGCUAAUUAGAAGUACGGAUAAGGAAUUACGGAUUUCUUUUCUCCUUGUUUUGGAUCAGAUUCCCUCCUAUUGGGGGCUUAUUAUUUGAUUUAAAUUAUAAUUUAUAGUCCCAUUUCUAAAUUUAAUAAAAUUAGUUAGGGGAAGGACAAAGUUGCGUACAAACUAAUGUGCACGCACUUUCCGCCAUCUCUUUCUUUUCAGCCACGCACUCGUCUUGAACGCACGGUAGAGAGCUAUUACUACUUAAUAAGCCUGAUGAAGACCAAUCUUGGUCGAAACGUUGCUUGUUGUAUAUAGUUUUUAUUGUUAAUAAACUUAUAUAAUUUUGAAAUCAUCACAGAGUUUAUUUUCGGUUCUUUACAAAAAGUUUAGUUCGAGUUUUUGCACAGUGAUGGCUCCUGGAUGUGAAUAAAAUGUCUCGUUGGCGACGAAAUUAUGAGGAUUAUUGGGAUAACCAUGAUUAUGAGCAACCCAGACGACGUCGAAGGUCGUUUUCGCCGCCUGGGCGACGUUAUAAUAAUCCCUAUAAUAAUCGUUACAACCAUGAUGGCCGCUCGUAUGCUACUGUUGUCCGUGAGGGCCGACCACGUGCAACUUGGCCUGUCCAGCACCGGUAUGGGCCUCAAGACUAUGCUAACCCGAACCAGGGUAGAUAUCGUCGACGUCCCCGGAGUGGUGGGGACCGGUCCUAUCCCAGAAGGAGAUCCAGGGACAAUUACCGCCGUCCGACGCGCCGGCCUGCCAGCCGGUCCAGGGUGGUACGUACUCGAAGUCAGGGGCGACGGAGGUCGAAUAGCAGGGACCUACCGUCGGAUAAGCCCAUUAGUACGGACCCCGAAUUCACUGCAAAGACACGGGGUAUAUUAAAAUUAAUUAAGGCUACCCACCAUUUAGGAAAUGUUAUGUCGGAACAGCCUCCAAUUUCAAUAGCUAACAUAGCUAAUCAUUUAAUUACGGCUAUUAAACCUGCUGCCCCUACGGCGAAUACAUUGUCCCUCAUAGAGGGGAAUGCUAGGUAUUGGGCACAGAAUACAAUGAUCAUACUCAGGGAUCAUUACCAAGAUGACAUUCAAAAUGCUGUCCAGAUCCUAAUACAAUUAGAAGCCUGGGACUGGAGACAGAACUUUGAUAUUGCUUCUGCAUGGGCUAAGAGCCAAUUUGGACGCAGGUUGAGGGAGGACACUUUGGAUGAAGUACAAACUCAAUUACGUGAGAGACUAAUUGCCCCCUCCAGAACACAGCGUGUCUCUGAAUCCAGAAUUGAGGAACAAAGACCGGUAAUGUCCAUGCAAACACUGCCAGAGGGGGAUUUUCCAUCUCUUUUACCGGAGAGGAGGAGUAAGCUACUGACCGUCACAGCAGAGGUGCACCCUCCUCCUCCUUCCUUGAACCUGAGGGAAUUCUCCGAACCACUCCUGGCCCCUGCAACGGUUGCCAGGCCCAGGAUGAUGGACUGUGGCACGAUGACCGCCCCCACUAGUGACUGGUCGCCGGAGAAACUUCAAGAACCUGGGAGAGUGGAGGGAGCUUCCUCCCCUCCGUUCCCCUUCCCCUCCCCUGGUUCUCCUGUUCCCCCCUUUGUCUCCCUCCCCAUUCUAUAUUCUCCUACUAUCCCUCUAACACAGGCACCCAAACCGCAGAGGAAGGUUCGGAGGCUGGAGUCACCCACCUCGGUGAUUCACCACGCUCCCUUGACCAGUGGGGUACAUACUCCACCUCGGGCGGCUACAGAUUGGCAGUCCUGUGAUGAUGAGUCGGAGGAUGAAACGACACGACGGGCAGGGCCUUUUGUCCCUCCUACUUCUGGUGCCCGUGUGAGUCAGGGGACCUCCUCGUCAUCGGAUUCUUCUUCAGAGGAGGACCAACCGCUGGUGGACAAGGACUCAGACAGCCCCAUUCCACCGACCCCUCCGCCGAUGGGACCUGCGGCCCAGGGCACUCCUGCUCUCAACAAACCACGGCUGCCAACAUUGAUGAGGCCUUGCUCCACACCCUCAGUCGUAAUGAUUUGAGAGACCCUUUCCUGGACCAGAACACUUUCUCAGGAGGAAACGAGUAUGGGCUCUUAUUAGCCCAGAGAGUGGACAGAGACCAACAGACCCAGCACAGUGUGGUACAACGGGUCAAAGAGGAGCAACUUGGAUCUAUUAAAUUGCAGUCGGACAUUACAAGGCGGAACGGGAGCUAUCCAAACCUCUCGAGUGGCUGGAGAAAUCUGUUCAUAUAUCAAAGUGGACACAAGCAGACAAAACAACUAAAAUCACAGACCCAGCACAGGGUGGUACGAUGGGCCAAUGAAGAGCAGCUCAAAUAGCGGUCGGAUAUUACAGGACUGGACGGGUGCUUUCCAAACCUACUCCUCACUGUGGGCGGACAGAGUCCCGGUAGCCAUGUAGGGCUGACCAUGUCUGAUUACCUAAUGCUCACUGAACAAUUUAAAGGAUACAUCUAGCCUGUUGUUUCACUAUAAAUCAGGAGGGUGUUUUGAAAGACCUUGAGUUUCCUAGGAGGAGUCUCCCUUGUGUAUAAGAUUAGUUACAGACACUGGGCAGAUCUCAGUGUACACAUUGCAACUGGACCGUAAAUAUGAACCAAACACAGUUUCAAUAUUUUUUAAAGCAACUACUAGGAAGCGAUUAACAGUAUACAAUGGCAGAAGAAUAUUUUGCUACCGGAAACUAUGGAUACGGAGCACAUCACAUUGAUCACAACAUGGCAGACACUUAUAUUACUAGAGGCAACUAUGGACACAGGGAACAUCACAAUGAACAAGAAAUGACAGAAAGAUAUUUUGCUACAGGCAACUAUGGAUAUGGAGUACAUCAUGAUGAACACAAAAUGAACCUAAGAACACAGGAGCCUACAGGUCUCAAGGGAACAUCCUCGCCUGUGCAUAACAUUCGUGAGAGAAUCCGUUGUGAAAAACAGGCUAGUGGCCUGAAUGCUCCUGUUUAUAUGACCCACCCACGUACCAUUGGUCCUCGUGAUGACUCUGGGUAUAAUAGAGACUGGGUUCAGGACAUUAGUAACGCAUCAACGCGGCCACGUGAUACCAACGGUUCCACCUCUAGGCCAAACUUUUCUGCUGGGAAUGCAAUGCGUGGUAUACCUAAACCGUGGGGUUCGCUACCAUCACGGGGUGGCCCUGUUCAACAAGUACCAUAAGACUAGGCUCGAUCGCAUACGUAAUGACACCAACCAAGAACAAGCCAGCGGCAGAAUGCGCGAGCACCAUAUACACCCGAGGAGAGAACAGGAACAACCCAAAAGACUAAAAGCAGUCCCCAGGCGUGAUCCAAAUGUAUCCGGUAACGGCUAUAUCCCACCCAGAGAAGGUGGCAAGUAUGACAAUAACGUACCUUGGCACGGUAAGCCCAGAUCGCAUUUCACUGAGAAACAUGAGAUCAGUCCCGUCAAAGAAACCAUCGACGCUCCCUCACAGUGCAAUUCCUAUGAAGAGAACAGGUGUCCCACGAUCCGUAAAGGUUUUCACAGAAAGAGAGCCUGGAGGUAUUCCAGGCAAGAGUUAGGUGAUAGUACA
ensembl:lncRNA